rnacentral:rRNA from 1 species
UACGUAGGGCGCAAGCGUUAUCCGGAAUUAUUGGGCGUAAAGAGCUUGUAGGCGGUUUGUCGCGUCUGCUGUGAAAUUUCGGGGCUCAACCCCGAACUUGCAGUGGGUACGGGCAGACUAGAGUGUGGUAGGGGAGACUGGAAUUCCUGGUGUAGCGGUGAAAUGCGCAGAUAUCAGGAGGAACACCGGUGGCGAAGGCGGAUCUCUGGGCCUUACCUGACGCUGAGGCGCGAAAGCUAGGGGAGCGAACAGG